GACGAACGCUGGCGGCGCGCCUAACACAUGCAAGUCGAACGAGAGAGAGGAAGCUUGCUUCCUUAAUCGAGUGGCGAACGGGUGAGUAACGCGUGAGGAACCUGCCUCGGAGUGGGGAAUAACAGUUAGAAGUGACUGCUAAUACCGCAUAAUACAGUUGGGCCGCAUGGCUCUGACUGUCAAAGAUUUAUCGCUCUGAGAUGGCCUCGCGUCUGAUUAGCUGGUUGGUGGGGUAACGGCCCACCAAGGCGACGAUCAGUAGCCGGACUGAGAGGUUGGCCGGCCACAUUGGGACUGAGACACGGCCCAG
rnacentral:rRNA from 1 species